rnacentral:rRNA from 1 species
GCGCAGCAGGCGCGAAACCUCCGCAAUGCGGGAAACCGCGACGGGGGACCCCGAGUGCCGUGGCAACGCCACGGCUUUUCCGGAGUGUAAAAAGCUCCGGGAAUAAGGGCUGGGCAAGGCCGGUGGCAGCCGCCGCGGUAAUACCGGCGGCCCGAGUGGUGGCCGCUAUUAUUGGGCCUAAAGCGUCCGUAGCCGGGCCCGUAAGUCCCUGGCGAAAUCCCACGGCUCAACCGUGGGGCUUGCUGGGGAUACUGCGGGUCUUGGGACCGGGAGAGGCGGGGGUACCCCUGGGGUAGGGGUGAAAUCCUAUAAUCCCAGGGGGACCGCCAGUGGCGAAGGCGCCCCGCUGGAACGGGUCCGACGGUGAGGGACGAAGGCCAGGGGAGCAAAACCGGAUUAGAUACCCGCGUAGU